UCGUAACAAGGUUUCCGUAGGUGAACCUGCGGAAGGAUCAUUAUUGAAAAAUAAAAACUUGGUCAGGUUUCUUGUUGCUGGCUCAACUUGCUUGAGUAAUGUGCACACACCUCGCCAUUUUUUUUUAAAUAUACAUCCCUCCACCUGUGCAUCAUCUGUGUAGCUUUUGAAAUGAAAAAAGGACUCUGCUGUGUGUGAGAGCACGGCUAAGUCUGUUUCAAAAGGUCUAUAUGUAUCUUUUCUCAUUUACCCCUUUACAAACAUGUUUGAAGAAUGUGAUCAUCACACGCACACAAUGUGUGAUAUAUAAUGCAUAUAUACAACUUUCAGCAACGGAUCUCUUGGCUCUCGCAUCGAUGAAGAACGCAGCGAAAUGCGAUAAGUAAUGUGAAUUGCAGAAUUCAGUGAAUCAUCGAAUCUUUGAACGCACCUUGCGCUCCUUGGUAUUCCGAGGAGCAUGCCUGUUUGAGUGUCAUUAAAUUCUCAACCCUUAAUCAACUUUUGUGUGUUGGUUUGAGUGGCUUGGAUUGUUGGGGGUCUUUGUUGGUUACUUUUUGAAAGUGCCAGCUCCCCUGAAAUGCAUUAGCAGAACAGUGUGUGAUCUGUCACUGGCGGUGAUAGUUUAUCUACGUCAAUAACAAAAGACAAUUGCUCUGCUUCUAACUGUCUCAACGUGGACAAAGAGUUGUACAACCUUGACCUCAAAUCAGGUAGGACUACCCGCUGAACUUAAGCAUA
rnacentral:rRNA from 1 species